GUGUACGCAAAGUAGAUCAGUUGAACAUAUACAUAUACAUAUAUCCAUUGUUUUUCAGAUUCUUUUCCCAUAUGGGUUAUUAAAGAAUAAUGAAUAGAGUUCCCUGUGCUAUACAGUAGGUCCUUUUUAGUUAUCUAUUUUAUGUACAGUAGUGUGAGCUUUGUUAAUUCUGAUUGUGAAGCAAGGUGAUCACUGACAUGUUCUUACAGGGGACAGUUUUCCAGUUUUGAAGAGACCUGUUGGGAUAAACACAUUCAAGAUAAUAGCGCUGGGACAGGACAAAAGCCACUUCAUUGUAAAAAUGCCUUCAACCUGAAACAUUCUGAUGGACCUGUGCACGAACAAUGGACACACACUGCCUAAUGUGGGAUGGAAGAGUAGCUGGUGGACCGCGGCAUUCUCUGGAUUCAUGGAUGUUAUUUCCUCAGCAAAUGGGAAGUUGCCCUCUAUAAAAAUGCUCAUUUCUAAAGGUAAGCUUAAAGAUGUUAGAGUGGAGCUCUUCUUU
rnacentral:lncRNA from 1 species